CAGAGAGAGUCAGAGAGAGCCUACUGGUAUAAAGGCAGCCUUUGUUCUGGAGGUCACUACAGGUCAUGGACCACACAAAUGUGGUGCUGGUCACAUUCUUCUAGAUGGUCCACCAUCCUCCAAGACCAUGGCUGAUGGAAGCAGUCCUUCUCUCAUUCGGCGAGGUUGGAACAUCUAAUGGAUUCUGAUAAGAGAUGUUUCCCCUCUGCUGAUGGCAAGCCUUCGAUUGUCUUUUUAAAACUGUGACAGAGGCCGACAGCAUCCUUAAAGGAACCGUCCACCAUCCACCAAUUAGAUCUUUUUUCAUGCCAGCCGGAGUCUGGGAAGCUGAUCAAUGGCUUCCCCCCCCACACGGCCUGAAGACCCAGUUAGUCCUGGAACAG